ACUACUGGGGAUUCCUUAUAAUUCAUGGGCUACCAAUUUCCUGGUUUCAUGGGUACUCAUAAGCCACAAAUUUAAAUGUUCAACAAAUUACAACAUUUAUAUUGGCUUGUAUGCAGAUAUAGGCAAAACCAAAAAAUCCAAUAUCCACAAGAAUUGGUAACAACAGGAAUAAAUAAAUCUACAGUGAUACAUCUCAAACUUGGCUUUCAUUGUGAAGUUCUAAUAAAAUGAUCAGAACCAAAAAUGUUUCUAAAUAAACUAUCAAAACUAACUAGAAUGACUAGUCCUUAUAAAAGAUCCUCUAUAUAAAAAAAAACAACAAUACAGACAAAAAGAGAUCAAUAUGAAAUAAAGAAUGGCAAAACAGAGUUCCCUCCCUUGUAAUGUUACCGUUGAAUUUCAUGACAAUUCUGCACAAUCACAGAACUUUCGCUAUUUCAAUGUACUUUGCAAUAAUCAAUAUCUGACUUGUUAUCACUUUUAUAUCUAUAUUCGCAAAUGGCUUAUAUCUGGUCACAAAAAAUAUUAUUAAAAGGUUAUCCAAUUCUUAAUAAGGGUAAAAAUGAUGAUAUA
rnacentral:lncRNA from 1 species